rnacentral:tRNA from 1 species
AAAUAAGAAGUAAAAUUUACAUUUAAUUUCGACUUAAAAAUAUGGUGAAAUCACCCUUAUUUA